ACGUACACUCCUACGGGAGGCAGCAGUGGGGAAUAUUGCACAAUGGGCGCAAGCCUGAUGCAGCCAUGCCGCGUGUAUGAAGAAGGCCUUCGGGUUGUAAAGUACUUUCAGCGGGGAGGAAGGCAAUACGGUUAAUAACCGUGUUGAUUGACGUUACCCGCAGAAGAAGCACCGGCUAACUCCGUGCCAGCAGCCGCGGUAAUACGGAGGGUGCAAGCGUUAAUCGGAAUUACUGGGCGUAAAGCGCACGCAGGCGGUCUGUCAAGUCGGAUGUGAAAUCCCCGGGCUCAACCUGGGAACUGCAUUCGAAACUGGCAGGCUUGAGUCUUGUAGAGGGGGGUAGAAUUCCAGGUGUAGCGGUGAAAUGCGUAGAGAUCUGGAGGAAUACCGGUGGCGAAGGCGGCCCCCUGGACAAAGACUGACGCUCAGGUGCGAAAGCGUGGGGAGCAAACAGGAUUAGAUACCCGGGUAUCCCAUGAU
rnacentral:rRNA from 1 species